AGCAACAAGGACCCCAUCAUUCCCUGAUUGUCUGGACCAAUGGCACUCAACCUGAAGCUUGGAGGCACGAGCAGCAGGGUGCAUGGAGCGCAGAUCCCAGGAGCAUGUCAAGCGGGGAGGGAUACUGAAAAAACCGACUGUCAGUGAGGGAAGAAAGUAAGAUCUGUCAGCUCUGCAGGAGGAAGGAAAGAAGCUGCCUGGAAGUGGGCUCCUCCUCUCUGGAGAUGGCUGUCCCCUCACCCCGAGGGAAGCUGUGAUGCAAUAGGACUUUGCAACUUAUGUUUCUCCUUUUGUUUUAAAAUUCAUUGAGACUUGAUAUGAGAGCUGAGCAGAUUUCAGUGCAUAGAUCUGAUUCCCCACUCCCUGGCAUGCAUGAAGUUUUUUAUACUAAGGCAAAGCAGGUGCAAAAUGUGACUUAAUAGUAUUUUAAGCCAGCAAAAUUCUGACUUAAUAGUAUUUGACAUCCACCCUGAGUGGUGUAUGUGGCUCCAUAAAGAAGUGGAGAAGCAGGAUCCUGGGGCAUGGGGACCAGAUCAGUGGCUGGUCCCAUCCAUUGAUGUCAGUGAUGCUCUGCUACCUUACACUGAGGAGGAUAUGACCCUGGAGUCUGAAUGAACUUCCCUGAAAUAGAGGAUCCUAGCUUACUUUGGAGCCAGCGCCCCCCGGAACAGGAACGUUGGGCGGGCGGACCCACACCCAGCUCAAUCUGCAGCCCAUGAAGAGACCAUGAAGGGCAGCUGGAGAAUGAUGUCAUGUAGCCGAGAUUCAGGGGAGCAGCAGGAGGCCUGUGCAAUCCAAACCAUACAGGGGGACCAGUGGUCAGGACACCAUACUGGUGAGCAACCAGAGAAAACAUCUGCAAGCGAGGAACUUAUGCCAUUGUGCCUCCACAGCUGCCUCUUUGGAUGGCCAGGCUUCAUGCAGGGAAACAGGCCCACGAUCCUCUGCAAAAUGGCUACUGUCCCCUCUCCCAUGCCCUCUCUAAGGCAAACUCUGCUGGGAAAAGACCAGAUCCAUCAAGAGCGGGGUGAUAAUACAAACCCCCGUCACAUAUUCCACAUCGCCCUGGGAUUUCCGUUAGAACAGGCAGGGAUUGGCAGAGCAGUGAGCCUCCCCCAGAUGUGGCCUCCUGUCAUCAUCCCAUAGCAUGGAAAGACCAGAACUGGAGUGGCUGUGAGGUCCCCCCAGCCAGCCAGUGCUCCUACACACUUCUCUGCAACAACUUCUGCUGGUAGCAUCAAGGAGCUCAUAGCUCAUAACAGUCCUUCACAGUGUGCUACAGUGACUUCUGCUGGAGUAAUGUUCUUCUCCUCAGAGCCAUUGUCUCAGAAACCAUCGCUCAGCUCCUACCGAAGGGAUGGGGGUUGGAGUAGUUAUGAAGUUCUCCAUAGCCCAGGCUCCUAUUGCAUGCUUAGAAUGACAGUUUCUAGGGGAGGCAAGGACUAGAAUAUGUGCCAGGAUCUCAGCUGUGCUCAGCUCAUGCGUGGUGUAGCUGGGGGUGGGGAGGGAACGUGGCUCUAAGCCACCUUCUCAACUGCCCCGAUCCUGGGGCUGCCCAGGGCAAAGCCAGGCAGGGGCUGUUAAGGGCAAAGCCACUGUUCUCUGGCUGCAGAGCUGCCAUAAGGCGACCCAUCCCUGUUCCUGCAGCACUUGGGUUUUCCUUGGCGCUCUCCCAUCUAUGCAGCCAUAAUGCUGAUCCAUCUUAGCCCAGAAAAGCAGAUCAGGUCAUAAUGCUGGAGGUGGCAGCAGGGCAGCUCGUAACACCUGGAAGCUUGCCCCCCUCGAGUGCUAAUGGCUGGAAGAUGCCCUAUCUGCCAAGGGGAGUUAGGAACACCAUUCCGGGCAGAUGAACAGAAAAGUACAUCCAUUUGCAGCAUCUCUGGUAACGGGACAGCCUGCCAUGUUGGCUGAUACUGGGGAUUGAAGCGGGGACCUCUACAGCUGACAGCAGGCAUCAUGACAGCUUGAACUAAAGAGAGAGCUGGCGGAGAGGCUGUAGCAAGCUCACAGCCUCUGUGGAUCAGGCACCGAGCAACUGCGUAACACACAUUAACCAGAGGGCUACAGUUGUACUGCACCUUCCUGGAGACAUUCAUACGGGCCUUCCCAUGGCUCCCAGCAACCACUUGAGCUGUUGUCCGAGGGGCCUGUACUGGUCAGAGGUGCUACACAUGCGUGAAGCCUGAGAAACAAGUGGAGGCGAGCGGGCAGGGACAGCCAGGAAUAAGGGCCUGCGGCUCGGCCUGGGACUAGCUAGUUCAGUCACCUGACCGACUUCUGAGCCCAGAUGAGCUACAGCAGAACUGCCUGAUUGGUUGCAGGGAGCCAGACAGCCUGCUCUUGAGCCCAGGAGCGCCAGCAGGUUGCUGGCUGCUCAAUGCUUCUGCCCGCAGCUGCCAUCGUUCCUUGUUCCCAUCCCUGCUCAGUUCCUGACUCUAGGUUCUGACCCUCAGCACAGUUCCUGGCCGCUGACGCCAGCUCUGACUGCGAGGCCUGACGGCCCAUGUCCCCGGUCCUGACGGGCGCACAGAGACCAUCACCACCUAUUUUUGCAUCUCCAGGCGUCCCAACGCUCUCAAUGAAACACAUCUAAACAUGGCUGUGACUUCAACCUCCCCGCUCCCACCCCACUCCUCCACGCCAACAGGCAGGCAGAGCUCGUCAAGAAAGGGUUAAGAACCGCUCCCCUAGCCAGCUUUGCGUAUUUAAAGUGAGUAAAGGUUUAAUUACCAAAUGAUGACAGUGUCAUAUGGUUUUGGUGAUGGCGCGUGGCAUCCGAUGAAUGCAGAAGAGGGGAGGAUGUGAGAGAGACACUGAGUGGCAGUGGGGAAGCUAAAAAUGCCAAAGACAGUAAAACAUCUGUAAUUUGCAAUUCGCUAGUGUUCGCUGAUUGCUCAUGGAUUAAAGAUUAAAAUCUAUUCUCUGGCAGAUGGGGGAGAGAGCGAGGAAAUUCUUACGAGCAUGUUUUGCAUCUGCAUUUCAUUCUGCUCCUCUUUACAAUAAUCACG